CUCGGUGGUUGGUACCAUUAUCAUGUUUGGUCUUGAUUACCGAAUAUUGAAACGACUUCUUUCUUUUUCGUAGGGGCCAGUAUCAUAGGUGGGAUUAUUUCCACGUUCUUGUCUGGAUACAUUGCUUAUCAUUUUGGUUGGAUCUUGGAUUUUCUACAUCUUCGGACGAACCAAUUCCAUGGAGAGCAAUCUUCACGUCUCUUCCAUUUGUAGCGUAUUCAAAGCAUUCAUUUGGCUAUUUCAUGCUGAUAUCAGAGCUUCCUUUAUUCUAUACACAAUGACUUCAUCUUGAUCUUAAACAGACCUGGAUUGCAUCGUCCAUACCUCAUAUGGUCACACUGGCGAUGUUAAAUCUCGGUGGUCAAAUAGCUGAUUAUCUUCGCAAGCAUCAUUUGAAAACAGGAACUGUGAGAAAGAUCUUCAAUA